CGCAUACAAGAUUAAUCAAGAAUUGUGAGAAUUUACUAAAUCACGUGUCUUGAAUUAAAAUAAACAAUAACGAUUUUAUCUUCAUCCAAUACAUGAGAAAAUUAGCCUAGCAUAAUGUUGGAAUUAAACAAAGAAAGUUUAGACGACAUCACCAAGAAAUUGACGAAACGCGAUUAAAUCCAAAAGUAUUCUCGACUUUGCCCAUGUGUGUAUUUUUCUUCAACUUUGACUGAUUGUUUUCUUCUCAAAACUGCCUCUUUCAAUUGUGUGUAUAAAGAAUUAAUUCUACAGCAAGCAGCCCCUUCUCUUUGUCUCGAGUAGCAUGUAUGGAAAAUAUAUCAACUCCAAGGAGACGUCUUUUCUCUCUAUAUGAAUUCCCCUUAGUUGGCAUGUGAUAAUCUCCGGCACCUACCAACGUUUUUCUUCAAAACCAAUUCCGAUUGUUUUGUGGGCCGCCGUUUUGUUUAUGUAAUUUUCCCAAGAUUUGUAGUCACCUUCUCUCGUCCCUUCUUUACUGCACACACACACACACACAUAUAUAUAUA
rnacentral:lncRNA from 1 species